CCACCCCCCUCCACACCCAUAUAUAAGCUCGUCCCAAAAACCAUAAGUAAUUGUGGCUUAAACCUGGCAUUUUACGGUAUCAAAAACGGCCCGGCAAUAAAACUUCCAACUCUUUACGUGUAUUCAAUAUUACUUCAACUAUAAGAGGUAUUUCUGUCUUCUCUUUCAUCGUAAUCGACCUGCUCUUGAGGCACGUUAGGAAUAAUGACUAGUUUUAUUCGUUUAUUUACGAGAUAUGCCUUCGAUGUACGGAAUACCUUCAAGGGACGAUGAUAAUCAGAAAUUGGCGCAUUAGGAUAGAGAACACUUUACAAUUCGCCUUCCUUACGCAAGGUUACAAACCUUUCACUGAUUUAUGAUCCGAGACGGACAUUCGUUUUGAAAAUGACUGAACCCAACCAACCAGACAACCAAAAAAACAACACUAAUAGCUAUUCAAAUCUGAGAGCUGUUGAACAUUGGUCUCGCUAUUUUUGGAGGUGGGGUUAUGUGUGGCGCCGUGGUGGGCUCGCUACUUUCGGGGGAUCCAAGGGGAGUCGUUACUUUCGGAAUUUUGCGGUAUUAGAAUACAGCAGUACAUCUUUUGCAAUGACUGCUAGGAUUGUAUUUGAAAUUCUCACAGUUUUUGGCAGAAAGAAGUAGUCUCUAGUUAAGAUUUAUCAUUCUAAAGUCACACUUCGUUAAAGUUGAAGUUCUCGCGAGACUGGAAAAAACAUAAACACGUAAUGCGCGCGCUUUGCGAAAACUAGUAAUUUAUGCUGAUUUAGGCUUAUCAUAAAUCAGGCGGGCAAAGCAGAAUAGAUGUAAUUGAUAAAUAACUGCGCGCUAAAUAGGACCAGCGACUCAACGUGUUGGAAUAUAGAACUUCUUUGCUCUGUGAAAGGGCUAUCGCUCACAACGUCGGCUUUUAAUUCGCUAUGGAGGUUAAUUUACCUUCAUCAACUCAAAACUUGCUUGUUAACUGAAAAAAGUCACAGCAACUGUUUAAAAUCCUAUUGUCUGAUCAUUCCUUGGGAGAUUAUAUUUUCCUUUUGUGUUACGUCCGUGAUGCACGCGCUCUGCGAAAAUCAGAAACUGUUUUCAACAGUACAUCUUCUGAUGUAAUUUUUCUCAAGAUGGCACGUUAAAAUUUUCUACCUUACAAGUUUUCAAUUCUAAUUUUCUUUUGAAUUUUUAUAUCCAUUAAGUGUCGCGCAUCAACCGGGGAGAACAUUUUAUUUCGUUUUGUUCAUCUUGAACAUUCAUCUUCUGAACUGAUUGUUAGAAACAUCGAGUUGAUAAACAACUAAGUGAUCCUUGCUCGUCGACUCAAAAAGUCAUAGCUACUUGUUAAAAUCCGUUUGUUUGAUCAUUCCUUCGGAGAUUCAUUCUGUUACGCUCGAGAUGCGCUAACGUGAUGCAAACACAUCAUAAUAUCAGCGCUUAAACUGGUAAUUUAUGCUGCUCUAAAAUUAUCACUAUUUCUCUUGGUGCACAGCGCAGAAUGGCUGGAAAUGAUAAGUGAUAAAUACUCAAAUUACAAAAGAAAAAUAAUAAACUGGUUCACUGACUUCAAAAUCAUACUAAUUUGCUCCACACAUAAAAGCCAUGGUCGAAUGUCAAAACGCAGUAGAACUUCAAAGGGGCUUGAGGUGCGUUAUAGAAGUUUGCGGUGCUGCCAUUUUGUGGUUGAAAAUCUUGCACGAUUUUGACCUUGAUUUCAUCUUAAGCUGCAUUUUGUCAUCAUGAAGACUAUAAUCAGUGUUGUCAUACUUGCGGUUCUCAUUGUCGCCGUGACGUCACGCAUUCCGCGUUACCACCAUAAACUAUCAGACGACGGACCGCGUUACAAUAACAGACGAUCUGAUGGAGGACCCAGUUACCAGUAUAAACUAGCAGAUAAAAGAGAACGAAUGAAUCACUUCGAUGUUCGCGAGGACAGCAAAGAAGCUAACUACUUUUUGAAGCCACGAGAACCCUGUAAUGAAAUCUGCUACGAAAAUUGCCACGAAGAAGCUAGAGGAAAUAAUCAAAUCCCGAGAUGUAACCAUUGUGGUUCAGACUGUUAAUUGUCCGUGGUUCAAGAACAGUGAGUGUUAGAACAUGCAUAAUAAUUUUAAAGAGUCGGGUGCAGACAGAUUUAAUAAAAGCAAAGUCAAGCUAUAUUAUGUGGGUACACCAUCACACAACAGGGGCAGAUUUAGAAGAGGCAAAAAAUAAAAAGUUACCUCAAUGAUAUUUCUACUGUGUUCCAUUGGUUAUGUAAAAGAGAGAUCGCCAAUUUUUGUGCAUAAGUUGAAUACUCAAAUCUUGCAUGUUCUCAGAGCCAAAGCUGGCCCAAAAGCUUAUGCCAUCAAUAACUUCAGGAAGAUAAGAAAUGAUUCUUCUGCCUUCUGUGGAACUAGUUAAGAAGUUAAAACUAGAAAAAAGGCCUCUCUUUGUAUAAGAAACUACUUCUGUCUUCUGUUUUACAAGAUUGAAACGA
rnacentral:misc_RNA from 1 species